AUGUUCGACACUAGGCUAACGUUACAUAGUUUUGGUUCAGGUAUAUAUGCAUGCCCCUUUCUGAAACAACCUUACACAUAUAUAGGAAACACAGGUGAUCUGAGAAACCUUAUUAAAUAACUUAAAAUGCUUUUUUCACAUUAUAUUUUACCUAUAUCUUUAAAACCCAAAAACUUAAAUUCUCAUAAGAUUUUUUGUAGGAUGUUCUGUACAUUAUUCUUUCUCUUGUCUGCAUUUAACCUCUGCUGUAGUUUAUUUCUAAUAAAUCUGACAUUGUAGACUACAUACUGUUGGCUCUGUGACAAAUAUUUUAUUUUCUUAUAUUCUUCCAUGCUGAAGACCAUGCAGCAGAGUUGGAGUGGACCUCUUGUUGAAGAACUUCUCCAGGCACUAUCCUGUAUGUCUUACAAGGCCAUCCUGUUUAACAUUGCACUGAGGACACUACAACCAGAGAGAUGCUGUCAUGAAACACCAUGAAAAGGCAACUGCUGGACACCUGGGACAGGCCAUCAAUUCCAAGUUGGUGGAACUGAGGUUCCAACUGAAGAAAAAGGAAAGCUGUUUUUGAUGCAACAAUUUUGAUACAGUUUGCAUUUGCAAGAAAAAAAAUCAAAUUAUUGUCAUGUUAAUUUUGCCACUGCCUUCAGUUUAUGAAAAAACACCAUUAUAUAAAUUCAUAAAAAGUCUUGAAGGAAUCAGGGGCAUGGUUUGGAUGUUCUU